rnacentral:rRNA from 1 species
UACGGAGGGGGCAAGCGUUGUUCGGAAUUACUGGGCGUAAAGGGCUCGUAGGCGGCCAACUAAGUCAGACGUGAAAUCCCUCGGCUUAACCGGGGAACUGCAUCUGAUACUGGAUGGCUUGAGUUCGGGAGAGGGAUGCGGAAUUCCAGGUGUAGCGGUGAAAUGCGUAGAUAUCGGGAGGAACACCAGUGGCGAAGGCGACUCCCUGGCCUGUUCUUGACGCUGAGGCGCGAAAGCGUGGGGAGCAAACAGG